rnacentral:lncRNA from 10 species
CUUUGGACAAAAGUCUAUAGCCAGUGCAUUUGAAAACUCCCCUUGCACCAGGGCUGACUGUAGCUGGGGGAAGACAUUUUACUCAUUUGCUCUUUCCUUUCAUACAGUCAGCUGGUCCCUCUUCUCAGGUGUAGAUCACCUAUUAUAAUUUUACCUAAUUUUGAUACUCUGAUAAGGAAAGUCCCAGGACUUAUCAGCUGGGAUAGGCCUCACUUACAAGACAGCUCUGUUCAGUAUUUGGAAGAAAGCCUGACAGGUUUCUUCGGAAAAGUGGCCAUCCAUGGAAUGAAUGAAAUGUUCUCUUUCUAUUCCAGGGAUUGCAGUGGCAAAGCUAGGCUAGGUCUUGGAGGCUGGUGUAAGGCGAUGUGGGUGAAGGCAGGAGGCUGAUGGAAAGACUGGGGGGAAGAAAAGCCGAAAUGGAUUCACGGUGCCUUGGAUGAAGGACGAGAGGGGAACUGCAAGCUCCUUCAACUGGUUCUGUCCGGUGAGAAGUGAUCAAGCUUGGGCUGACAAGAGGCUCAGGGAGCCCUCACGUUCUUUCGCUUUUUUACCUGCCAAUCAAACUGCUACAAGACAACACCCUGAUCUGGCAUGGACAUAUCCAACUUAGAAAUAAUGUUUCAUUCAAGAUAAGGCUCGUGGCUUAGGAGAUUGUGACCUGGCUUGCAUCAUUCUAAGACUUCUAUCGUCUGUUUUCAAAACCCAAGGAGGACCUCCUUUUCUGUGUGAUAGUUCCUCAUGCUUUGCCAGCCACUGGGUCUUUAAGGAAGCUUGCCAAGAGUUCCCGGCUGGGAAGGACAGUUCGAGUUCAUCAUAGACAAUGAGCUGGCACCACAGUUUAAGUGACUCACCAACCUGGUUGCCCACUUCAAAAUGUCAAGAACCACACUAUCUAAUUGAAAGAACUGUGUUUUAGCAAAGUGUAAUUGGAUCGCCUGGCAAGAUCAUCUCAAACUAUGUCUCUGACCUUGCCUUUCAGUGGCUAUUUUGAGCACAAGAGGAGAAAGGAAAUGAUUCCUGAAUUAUAUCUUGUUUUUAAAAAUUAAGAUUAAUUAAUACUUGGUUUUAUGUUCAUUCCAUUGUAGGAACUUAGUGAUUAUUACAAAACAGUCAAAAUAGGUCAUAGCAAAAUGAACGUUUAAGAUUAGGUUAAAACAUUCCUCUGAAAUUUUAGUAUUCACUUUUGAAGUGUCAAUUACUAUAUUUCUGUAAUUUCUCAUUUUUUUCUUGGCUUAGAGUCAAGAUGAAAAAUGAUAUUUGAAUCAAAGACAUUGUUUUGUUAUAUAGCCACUCCUUUCUAAAAUGCAAAUCCACCCUCCCCUCACCAAUGCUUUAUUCUUUGUGCGCGCACACACACACACACACACACACACACACACACACACACACAGACAUACACAGAACCAGCACCCAAAUGGUAGAGGAGUUUUAUAACGUGCAUAGGUUUACCCCAUGGGGAAUUAAAAUUUUUAUCUGCAAGUAUUUCUGUUGUUGUGAGACUUUAGGACAAGACAACAUUUGGUGUUAACAUAGAAGAAUAUUCUAUGGCUUUUUUAGCUUUAAAGUUCAUUACUCUAAAAUAAAGUACACGUGGUAUUUUUUUCUUCCUAGUGUUCUCUUAUUAUAUGUAGAGUAUUUUCGGUUGUUGUUUUUAACGUAUACAUUAUUUUUAUUAAGUCAUUUCAUAAAAGAUAAGAUAUAUACUAAUAGACCCUUGGUUUUCUCCUAAUUUAAUUAUUUCAAGUCAAGCAAAAUUGGGCAAUUUUCUUUCAGGAAAAAAAAAAUAUUGAGCAUGAUUUUGAGGUAAAACUGAUUAUUUACAGCAUCUUUUCUCUAAUAGGCUAACAUUUAUGAUGGAUCUUAUUUCAAAGUUGAUUAUUCUCAAAGAAAAGUGGAGAUAUUAGAAUUUCCGAGUAAAUUGCAUUGUUUUAAAAAGUACUUUAAUGCAUUGUUCACAUUGUUGCCAGCUAUUGACCAAAAAAGAGAAGAAGAAAAAAGAAAUAAAAAAAGCAGUAUCUGCUCCAAACGUCAAGUUUUGCAGUUUGAAAGACUUGUACAUUAUAAUUGUUUUUUUCUUUUUUGGAAAGCAGUAGUAAUUAAUACCAAAGGCAUAGACAAUUUAGGGCCAUAACCUCCCUUCCCCCCUCUCCACCUUUUUUUUUUUUUUUUUUUUUUUUUAACUUUAACCAUGAUAGGCAUCUCUGCAAGGUAGGUUUUAACAUAUUUUUUUCCUAAUUUUUUUCCCUCCAUUCAGUAAGAAGGAUAAGCUUUUAGAGUACCCAGUCACCGUGGUAACUGCCAAAAAAAUUCUCCUGAAGUUUGAAGAGGUCAGCUAGCAGGGUCAACAACCCUGGCCUCUCUCUGAGCUCGGUCUAGCAUGCCCCAGCCUGCGGUUGGAGUGUCAGGCCAGAUCUGACCCUGGGAGGUGGACCAUUCUGGCUCUGAUAUAAAUUUUUCGAGUCAGUUCAUGGCCUGGACUCUCCAGGUGGCCUCCAAAAUCGAUUUUGACCCCCUGACCCUGUCUCACGGAGGCAUAGCAUCCACCCUAAGUAAGGAUUUAGCCAGGAAUGACAGCUUUCCACUGAGUGUUAUUGGGGACAGUAUAAACAGUUUGGAAAGCAAGUAAGGAGGUGUGAGGGCUAGCAAUCAUUAAAAGCACAUUAAAAAACAAUUUUUAAAAAUCUUUAUUAGAGAAAGUUGUAAAUGCAUAUCUGUUACAGAAUUCCUGUGAUUUGUAGAGUUUUCUAGUCAGUUUUGAAUAUAAAUAGGUCACAUAUCUUUAUCUUUUUGCAUACUUUGUUACAAAUAUGCAAAUAAGAUAGGCAUACUUGCUACAAAAUAGGUACAGCAGGAAUGUAAUAUGUUCAGAAAAGGCAAACUGGUUAUUAAAACACAUUAACAGGUAAGGAGUUUCUAAUAUUUUAAAUACUAAAAUUUUACAUGUGUAUUUUGAAGUUUUUAAAAUGGAAAAAUAAAGAACCUUUAAAAAACCCAACAGUGUGGAAUAAAGAUAAACUUGUUGCACUCAAGGUACAUUUCUACUUUGUAAAGCAAGAAGCCAAUACACUCAGUUGGAUAAAAAUGAGAGAAAAAUUGUAAAUAUAGAGAGUUACAGCUUAUAGAGCUGAAGAGGAAUAAAACAAAAAAAAGUGUCUCUGAAUAACUUUAUGUAUUUUCAACAGUUUAAGAUAUCAGAAACUUGGAAAAUAAAUAUGAUAUAUAUAUAAAUCAUCAGUGAUUAUUUCCUUUUCAUUCCCCCCCGCCCCCAGGAUGCCACCGUGAGUGUUUGAUUUUCUCUAGGAAAGUAGAAUUCUCUUUGAGAGUUCUAGCCUGUGAACUCAGUAUGUAAAUGUGGCCAUCAAGAAGACAGAACUGCCAAGAGGAAAGAUUAUGAAUGUUUUUCUUCCUUAAAACCAUUCACAGUGUUUCUUCUUCCAGUGCUUUACUCAGACUUCUCCCCUUUUCCCAGCUCUGUUGAAAAUGGCUUCAAAAGCAACACUGCAGUGGCUAAACCAAUUGUACUGUGAAGUUGUUGAGAUGCCAUUUCAUCUGAAUCCUUCGUAAAAAUUAGAUUUUUAAGUAGGGGUGAAUAUCCUUUUGGGAGAGGGAAUGGGAGGGUAGAAGAAGGGGGGAAAGGACAGAGCAGUUUAUAUAUAUAUAUAUAUAUAUAUAUAUAUAUAUAUAUAUAUAUAUGAGUAUAUAUAUAUGAGUAUAUAUAUAUAUGAGUAUAUAUAUAUGAGUAUAUAUAUAUGAGUAUAUAUAUAUGAGUAUAUAUAUAUGAGUAUAUAUAUAUAUGAGUAUAUAUAUAUGAGUAUAUAUAUAUAUGAGUAUAUAUAUAUGAGUAUAUAUAUAUAUGAGUAUAUAUAUAUAUACUCUUUGUGUUUGAAGGCCUCUGUGUCUUGGCUUCUCACUAUGUUAAAUCCCUAUUAUAAAACUUAUCUUCACAAAGCCUAUUAUAGUAUUCUGAGAACAAAUUGGACCAUGAAUAACUUAGUUGGAAGUGUAGAUUAUUUUCUACUCAGGGGAAGUUAGAGAUGACAACAGCUUAACUGAAAGAAUAGUGAUUAAUCUUAAAUAGAUGGAUUUCAAAGUUUCACUCUUGAUAAAGAGUACCUUUGAUAUUUCCCCUCUUCAGAAUCACGUUUCCACUCUCUUUGUAUUAAGAAUUGUCCUAGUGAUUACACUCUCCCCCUAAUACAGCUCAAAGUGUAGAUCAUUUUUUUUCCAGGUUGUUAAUUUGUCAGAGAGGUGACCAGAAAGACACUCUACUUCCUGUUGGUUAAAUCGAUGAUUCCUAAGUGGUACUAGGCUUAGAUACAAAAGUCAAUGAUAAGAAUAUCUUGCAUAAAUCAUAGCUUCUUACUUAGAUAAAAUUCUUAUUUAAAAAUUUUUAAUUUGCUUAAUGCCCUAUAGCUUACAAAGCACUUUUUAAAUCAUAAUUUUGUUUAAUCCUUAGAAUAAUGUUAUAAGAUAAACAAAACUCAUCAAUCCCAUUUUACCUGUGAUUGCACACUGUGAUUGAGCUAAUAAAUGGAAGAAUUGAGAUACCAACUCAGAUUUUGUAGCUUCUGUUUCAAGUGAUUAACCUGUAGCAACAGGCUUUUGAAUUAUUUUUGUGUUCUAUAUCCCUGAAGAUAAAGAUUCUGUAUUAAAGAGCCAAGAUUUUAUAUCUCACAAAUUAAAAACUUAAAAGACAUGACUGAAAAGAAUUCUGUUUACUUUAAAGUGAAUUUUACCAGUUAUUAUUUUUCUUUCUAUAUAUAUGCUUAAAUGGUCUUUCAGAACUGACGGUUUUAAUUUCCAAAAGUUAAACAUGGGAAGCUCUAUAUAAAUUAAAUAACUAUCUGGAAUUUAAACCACGUAUAUAAGAAACUUAGAUUCUAUAUUUCAAAGUAAAAUAUAGCAUAAGACUUUAGAAGCAGGUUCUACAUAUUAAGUAAUUAUUUGAGAAUAUGCCAUUGAUAAAGCUCUUGAGUGUUAGAGGCGAGAUUUCCCUUCAAUUUUAAAAAACUUUUAAAAUCUUUUAACAUCUUAGCAAGUCUGGAUAAACAAAGUCAAAGUCAUAUAGAACUACUUUUGUUCUCUUAGGCUUUUACUUUUUGUGUUUAAUAAAAAGGUUUGCAAAAUACUCUAGGAAAAAUAAUAAAAGGAUUAUUAACUUGACAUUAAUGUAAACCAUCUAAACAUUACAGAAAUCAAGAAAUACAAAUAGAUGACAUUAUUUUAUUCUUAGGUUUUUAAUUAUAUUGCUUUAAACAUGUAAUGUGGGCAGUGUAGAUGUUAAUAUGGAAAUUCUUAUUUUUUAUUUCUUAAAUUAUAUAAAAUUAAAUUAGUCAUUUUAUAUAUACUUAAAUUAAUGCUUUUGCCCUUGAAAUAUUCUAGCAGCCAGAAAAAUCUAGUUAAGCUUGUUAGCAUUAGACAAAAUGAAAAAGUGUAGAGAAAAAGAAAAGCGACUGUUCUGGUAUCAAUAAUGACAUAUGAUAACCUUUUUUUGUACUGAAGUUUUUCUACAAAAACAUGACAUUAGACUGAGGAUUUUUCAUUCUGAUGUGCAGGUUAAUGUUCAAGUCUCCAAAUACAAACUUCUAGUGUCUCCUCCACUUGUAUGCAAAUUAGGAAAUGCAAAAAUAAGGUCUCUUAAAUUGACAGCUAUGUUUGUUUAGAUAUUCUUCAAAAUUUUAUAAUUUCUUAUAUUACCAAUCUCACUCAUUUUGGUCAUGUGUGUCUUUAACAGCUGUUCAAAACAGGUUUUCUUCCCUUCCUCCUUCCUUCCUUCUGCCCUUCGUUCCCUUCCUUCUCUCUCUUCCCCUUCUCUUUUUCCUGCUUUCUUUCUUGUCCCUCUUCCCUAUCCUUCCUUUUUUUCUUUCUCCUCUCUUUUCAUCCCUUCUUCUUUCCUACGUUACUCAUUAGUUUUUAGGUGUUUUUGUUUUAAAAUGCAGGGCAGCUUGGGUUAAGGGGUUAUCUAAUGCAAUAUAUUUUGCCAAACUGAGGUGCUGAACAAUGAAACAUUUCAGUUUAAACUUGCAUCAAGUCAGAAAACCCUCAAGUAUGGUAUCAAGACUUUUCUGACAAUGAAAAUCCAAUACUGAAUGAUCAACUUUUAAAAUGUUACAGAUUCUGGCAGUUUCUCUCUUGCUAUCUUUGUAGUCUUUCUAAGUCAUCUAAACUAUUGGUUAGUUAUGUUAGCUUCUUGUGUUGCAAAGAAAAAGAGCAUUUUUAGAAAUCUGACAAGAAAUUUUGUCAAAUUGCUACACAUAAUUUGUAUAUAAGUACAUAAAAGCACAAUACUAGCUAGCAUUGAAAAAUUUGAAUAAAGAUCAGAGAUUUCUCACUUUUUUCCCACCCCUGUCCAAUAUACUGUGGUAUUAAAUAUUUAAUAUAUGUUCAUUUUUUCUCUUCCUUUCCCCAACCCCCACAAAGCUGUUAUCAAUCUGGACAGAUGAAUAAAUUUUGGCAAAAUAAGAUUUGUUUAGAAUGGUAAGAAUUCUUCCUAAUAAAGUUUUUAAGCAAGUCAAUAAGGCAUAAAAAUGUUCUGUAUUCUUCUAAA